UUAACUUCUGAGGCCCCAAGUAUUCGACUAGCACCCAACUACCCUUUCCUCUCCUCCUCCGCCUCCGACCAGAACCCUCAUCCUCUUCAUUCUCCGCCUCCGACCAGAACUCGAUCCUCCUCCUCCUCCUUCUCCGCCUCGGACUAGCUCCUCUGCUCGAAGAUGGUGAACGGAAUCGGAGUUCGAGGGAUUUGUGAGCUUUUGUGUCAUAGGGUUUUCGAGAAACAAGCAUUCUUCAUUCAUUGAGCUUUCUGGGCAAGUUCGAGCUUGCUGGGUUUGUGACCAUGUAAUUGCCAUUCAUGUUCUGAGCUUUCUAGGCAUUCUCCAUCUUUGAGGAGACUUCAUGCUUGUUCUCGCGGUGGUCAAGACAUUCGAUUCUGUGUUCUCUGCCGAUGAAGGUUUCUGUAGCUUGAAGCAGGCUUCCUUCUGAGUUAAUGGCGUUAAUGGUGAGUCACUGUGACUAAAUUCUUUGUUUUCUGUUUGGGUCCUGUGAAUUUUGGGUCUUCAAUUUUAAGGGUUUUUGGUAAUUGAUCGAAAAUUGAAUUAUA